rnacentral:lncRNA from 1 species
AACAACAGCGUCGAGUCUCGUGAGGCGAGCAGUUCGCGGUACUUCACGUGUUUACAUUAUUGUAAAACACUCUUAACCGUUUAUUUAAGCAACAUCCAAAGAGCUCACAAGUGCAAGCAUCAGAGCAUCAGGAAGAAGUGAAAUCUGCAGAGACAGAGUU